rnacentral:rRNA from 1 species
UACGAAGGGGGCUAGCGUUGCUCGGAAUCACUGGGCGUAAAGGGUGCGUAGGCGGGUCUUUAAGCCAGGGGUGAAAUCCUGGAGCUCAACUCCAGAACUGCCUUUGAUACUGAGGAUCUUGAGUCCGGGAGAGGUGAGUGGAACUGCGAGUGUAGAGGUGAAAUUCGUAGAUAUUCGCAAGAACACCAGUGGCGAAGGCGGCUCACUGGCCCGGUACUGACGCUGAGGCACGAAAGCGUGGGGAGCAAACGGG